GAUGAACGCUGGCGGCGUGCUCAACACAUGCAAGUCGAACGUGAAGCUCCCUUCGGGGAGUGGAAAGUGGCGCACGGGUGCGUAACACGUAGCUUAUCUGCCCUGGAGACGGGAAUAACACACGGAAACGUGUGCUAAUGCCCGAUAAGCUCCCGGUCUCUAGACGACCGAGAGAAAAAGCUCAGGUGCUCUGGGAUGAGGCUGCGGUCCAUCAGCUCGUUGGUGAGGUAACGGCUCGCCAAGGCAACGACGGAUAGGGGACCUGAGAGGGUGACCCCCCACACUGGGACUGAGACACGGCCCAGACUCCUACGGGAGGCAGCAGUGAGGAAUAUUGCACAAUGGGCGCAAGCCUGAUGCAGCGACGCCGCGUGGGCGAAGAAGGUCUUCGGAUCGUAAAGCCCUUUUCUAUGUGACGAGAAACAGGACGGUAGCAUAGGAAUAAGUCUCGGCUAACUACGUGCCAGCAGCCGCGGUAAAACGUAGGAGGCGAGCGUUAUCCGGAGUUACUGGGCGUAAAGCGCGUGUAGGCGGUGGUGCAGGUCGGAUGUGAAAGCUCCCAGGCUAAACCGGGAGAGGUCAUUCGAAACCGCAUCGCUAGCGGGUGGCAGAGGCGUGUGGAAUUCCAGGUGUAGUGGUGAAAUGCGCAGAUAUCUGGAGGAACACCAGUGGCGAAGGCGGCACGCUGGGCCACACCGGACGCUGAGACGCGAAAGCAUGGGUAGCGAACGGGAUUAGAGACCCCGGUAGUCCAUGCCGUANACGAUGCACACUGGGUGUUCGUGUCGGGAAACCGGCGUGAGUGCCGAAGCUAACGCGAUAAGUGUGCCGCCUGAGGAGUACGGUCGCAAGGCUAAAACUCAAAGGGAAUUGACGGGGGCCCGCACAAGCAGCGGAGCGUGUGGUUUAA
rnacentral:rRNA from 1 species